ACCUGCACUAACCUACAAUGCCUUUCUCAGUUUUAACAAGUAGGUACAGCAAACACUACAGCAAGAUUGAGCACCAGCCAGUUGGGCUUUUUGACCGGUCUUAGCACUGCAAAUUUAAUUUUCUGCAAAGGGAGCAAACAACCUCCUGGACAGUUCCUUAAAAUACAUGAGAUCUCCAAGCAGUGAGGCAACCAUUAGAUGACAGACGUAGGUGACCUAGAAAAGCAUAUGUCAUUUUACCUUUCUAAUUUUUAGUUAAAUGACAAUAAUAAUACUCUUCAGUUUCAGGUGUAUCUUAAGUUUGUUUUCUUUCCUAAGAGUAUUUCUCUAGGAAGCCUCCCAGAAACAUCUAUCCUUCAAGGACAUGAAAUAGAAAAAACAGGACUAUCAAGGCAAAAAUCAAAAUCAGAGUCAACUUGAAAGUCACCAGUACUCAGAGUGACAGUCUGCAACAUAUCAGUCACACUUCAAGAUUAUUGUCUUAGCAUAAAAUAACUUAUAGGGAGAAAACCAGCAUUCACAUGAGCUUUUGCUAAAGUUAAACUGAUGUUCUGUGGGACUGAUGGUUAGACAGACUGGCGCCUGUUGAUUGUGCUAUCACUUCAGUGCGUGAAAACAAUUUGCUUGCAAGCAGUCCAUAUUUCAUUAGCAUUAUAAGUGCUACAAGAAAAUAAUUAGCCUCUAAUGCACUCUAUAGCUAAAUCACUGGAGCAGAAGUGAUCGAUAAAACAGUCAAUAGCAAAUCGUUUGGUCCCAUUUUAUUAAUGCUGUUUGAAUUCAUGCACUUUCCAAUCUGGGGUUUAUCUGCACAUCAUGAGAGAUAUUUCACGUCAUGCUACAAGUUUCAUCACAAUGACACAGAUCAUGUAUCUAUGCAACAUCAUAGCUGACAAAAGCCACCAGCUGUCUAAAUCAGUAGGUGUCUGGGAAAUCAGUAAUUUUUUACAUAUGUAAAAUUUAAUCACAGGCUGUUAUGAGACUCUUUGCUAACAGAUCUGGUCAGACAGAAGUCAGAUGGGGGAAGGGAGUGAAUUUAAAACGAGGUGCUAGAGGCCUUAUCAGAUAUGGCAUAAUAAAUGGCAUAUCUCAGGAUUCCUAUCAGGCGUGAAGGCUCUGCAAUCAGCAUUCCUGCAGCAUCCAGAAUUACUGCCUUCACAUUUCAUAUUCGUUGGCGCUGUGGAGGUCAGUUGUGUUGGUGACCCUUUUUUCUAUAUGAUGAAUAGCUCCAGUGUUCAUGAUUUUCAUCCAACAGAAUCACAUUGAUUGGAAUUGCAGCAAAUAAGAUUGCAUACAAAAUUCUGCACAUAGCCUCUGACUAUAUGUAUAAAUUUGCAUUUACAUUAUAUUUGCAUCUGGGGAGAGCCCACAUACUAUUUUUUUCACAGUGCAGCUGCAAUAUCUUCAGAGCCUGGAUGCAGUGGUUGAACAUCUGUCACUCAGUGCCAGACUGUUUUAGAUCUUUUAAAAUCAUAAGGAACUGAUUAGUAGAUGAAUUAAAUACUGCUGUGUUUAUUUGUGACUCUAGCACUUCCUCUUCUUCUUGUUGAGCCAUCAUUUCAUAUUAGGAUUGAAACUCUAAUUUUAGUUGCAUUUACCAGCAAAGCAGUGACUUAGGAAGACAGAUUUUAAAAGUCUAAAUAUGACUGGGUCAAAAGGGUGACAGAAUAGUUAGGCAAAAGGAGCAGAUGAUAAACCACACGAGUGUAUGAUGAGUAUUUCAAGAGCUAGAAGAGACUGUUAGGUAAGGACAUAACAAGGUACCACUUCUUUGGUGAUGAAAAGAGAGAACUAGUGAAAGGAAGAUGAAAUAUAACAGAUACCAACACAAAAAAGACAAUAUGCUAAAGCAAGCAGGACAUAUGUUUGAAACAGCUACUGAAUGGUUCUACCAAACUUAAAGGAAAAGACCAGAAAAGCGUGUCUGCGAAAAUAAUUGUUUUGUGGAAGUGAGUGUUAGGAGGAUUCAGGCAGUCACAACAGGGAGCUGCUGCAGCUUUUACUCUACCCUUGAGCAUCAGAAGUUUUAAUCUAAAUGACUAUGAAAACCUAGGUCAUAAAAUCUCUUAGUCUUUGGUCUGGCUUUCCACCAAAAAAAAUUGAAAAAGUCAUUGUUGACAUCAGUGGAAACUAAACCAGAUACGCCAGCAGAAGAUGUACUCUUAGGAAACAAAAAUAUUAAUAGAUAAUCCCAAACAUUUUUGCUGUCCACUUUCUUCUCAGAUAGAACUAGGCAGAAACAGAUUUCCAUUAUAUACUUUCCAGAUUGGUCAUUUUUGCAAACAGGAGCAACCAAUGGGAGCACCAUUAUAUUUCUUGUCUCUGAUGACUAAAAUGAAUUGGGAGAAUCUAAUAAAAAUGUAAUAUUGUAUAGUAAAUGUCUUUAAGCUUUGCUGUAUCUUUAUCAAUGGCUUUCUGAAGGUGAUUGUUGUCUAUGAGGGGGCUGCAGUUUCUCUUUUACCCAUUAAAGGAUCUUGAUUUUUGUUAAUUUCAAAUGAAAAUGUCACUCUUCAUUCCAGUUUAUGUCAGCUAUUAGACAAGAAACAGCACCAUGUUCUUAAUUGCAAAACAGUCUGAGAAACACAAGGAACUUUAACAUAUUAGACUUACUGGAAACAAAUUCAGAGCUCAACAGAAUGCUAAUACACCAAAUGCUGGUGCAACAGUAUAAUAGCUUGCAAUUCUGAAAUUAUUUUAACAUAUUAACAUGUCAUUGUAGCUACUUAUCUGCAUCUGCAUUUAUUGGUAUUAUGCACACCUUCAAAUCACUGUUACUGCUGAACACUGCAUGGCAUGAUGCAGGCUGGGCAUCACUUUCUGAGACAGACAGUCCCUGGGGCUCCCUGGGUUUAGUCCACCUCCCUGCCUCCCCAGCGCCUUGCCCAGGAGGAGGGCAUUGCCAGGCUGGGGGAAGAGCUGAGCCCCUACUCCAGACCUAUGUACUGCUGCUUCACUCCCUCCUCUCAUUCCUGCUUGUUUACUUUAUAAAAACCAAACAGUGGCUGACAAAAGACAUCUUGGCCAAGAAUAAGAUGAAGCAUAUGGUGUCAUGAGACUUUUGCAGUGAGCCUUCCCAUCCUGCAGGAAUCUGUGGCCCAGGGAGCAUCAGAAGAUGUGGUGGGGUCUUUGUAUUUCAGACCAUGCUGUGGGAUCUUCUCCCGUAACUUCAUGUGGUAACUCUUUGAAGACUCGUAAGCUAGCAGCCUCAGCACCUUGCUGUAAUCUUUGGUUUAACCAUGUAUUAUCUGGAAAGUCACUUCCUCACCACUGUUUUGAAUUUUCCUCCUGCUGGCUUACUGGACUGUCUAGUUCUUACACUGGAAUUGUUUCCCACAUCCCUGCCCCAUGCCAGCAAAGAUUUUAUAGACUUGUAUGAUAUGUACCUUGUCAGUUGUCUCUUUUUCAGGCUGAACAGUCUGUAUCUAAGUUAUUCCUUGCACAGAAGCUGUCCUAUUGAGUUUCAUCUGCUAUUUUAUCAUCUAUGCCAUGUCAUGAGGGCCUUCUGCAGUUCUUUAUUAUCUUUAUACCUUACCUUUACCCUUAUCUUUUUUACCCUGAAUAACUUCCUUUGCUGAUUACUUCCUUCAGCUUGAAUCCUGAGCAUUUAUUCCCCUUUCUCUUUAUUGAUAUGGGGGCAUGUCCCCUUGUUUCGUGGUACCUUCUUUAAGAGCUUUUGGUGAGGAAACUUGUCAAAAUGCUUUUAGAAAACUGAAUACAUACAGCAAUCAUAUCUUCUUUGUCCAUCUUUGUUUCCAGCAUAAUGUAGUAAUUAUGUCAGAUGGGACUUGCCUUUGGGCCUUGCCUUUACAAAAUCCGUGUUGAUUCUUCCCAAGGAAUUAGUACGUAUCCAUGUAAUUCUUUUCCUCAUAUAGGCUUAUUGCUUGGUAUUUCAUUGCUUGUAACCUGGAUUCCUUUCCAAAAGGGUGCCACAGUAGCCUGGUACUGUAAUAUGGAAGCAAUUGUAAGCUUAAAGUUAUGCAUCGGUUCAAAUGUUCCACAUUUUGAGAGCUCUUGUGUGAAUACCAUCAAGACCUUGCAAUUUAUUAACAUUAACUUUGUGAUUUGUUCCCUAAUCUCUUCUACUGACAUUUUAUUGAGUUAGAGCCUCCACUGUGUUUCCCAAAGACUCCUUGUGUGGAAACUUUCCCAAGUUCCUCCGUAAUCAAGGUAAAUUAAAAAAAUUCAUGCAGCUUUUUUUGGUACUGCAGCUAGACCAGUGAAAUAAUGUGCUCACAACGUGGCUUCUGAUUAUUGUGGUCACUAUUUUACAAGGAACACACAACAGCUAUUAUAGGCAUGCGAUGCAGGAGCUCUACAAAGCCAGGUCUGCAGACCAGCAAUAAUUUAUGUAAGUCUCCCGGCCACCUGAUGCUUUUUAAUAUGAAUCUCUGUACAGCACAGGUAGAAUCUAAAUACUUUGGUUUACGUAUUAGCCAACACCAGCUUCCUCUGCUGUAUUAUUUUCUUCUCUUGUCUUCAGCUGAUAUAAGGAGACAUAUACCAACUCAGGAUAUGUUCCUAACUUUUAAAACUGUUUCCCACUUCAGUGCAAAGGUGAGUGUUAAUUUAGUUCUGUUAUUAACUUCUGUAACUAUUCUCUGGUGUAACAGUAUAUAUACACCUCUAAAUAGCAGCCAGACAGUAACUGUCCAAAUGAUAGCCAACAUCAUGGUGGCUGCAAAAUUCAUUGGGGAACCACUGGUCUAGCAAUCCAUUACCAAGAUUGGAUUUUAUAGCUUUCUUUCUGUUUUAUCUCCACAGGAAACUCACUUAAAGACAAUUUAAAGGCUAGAUGCUUCCUUAUACUUGUGUAGCUGAGAGCUAAAUACUGUUGUAAGGGAACUAUGGCUUAAAAUGACUGAGCAAUAUCAAAUGAACAUUUUCUACCUCUCUUUUUGCAGAAAACUAUGUCCAAGCAUUACUAUAAAGCUAACUGAAAUCAUGAUGGAAGUUUCUAAUAGCUAUUAAUGGCUUCAUAUUAUAAUAUCUUUUCUUGUAGCAAUAAUACUUUCAAAACUACCCUGACUGGCAGUCCUUUCUUGUUGCUGUCAUUGAUGUAUUAAUUGUGUUUUCCUUCUAACCUAGGGAGAAGGUUGCACUGUUUAGUUUUAUUUAUACUCCUAAAUAUUAUGACUCAGUAUGGCAUGGAACAUGACUCUUAGCAAUGAUACCAUUUACAGGCAAUGGUUAUAAUAACAAGACAAACAGUACUUACUGGUAAUUGAGGUCCUUAAUUAAUAACAUUUUAAAUCCUAGGACAAUCUGUUUAUUAAACAUUGCAGUAAAACUGCUCAAAAUUCAUGUCUUCUAUUCACAUUGUACCUGGAAUCAUUGCUGUGCUAACAGGUUUCAUCAGUCUCUCAAUUAAAUCUGACAAAUAUAAACUGCUUUGCUAUAUAGUUAGAAAAAACACCUUUAUUUUAGAGCCUGUGGUAAUCCAGGCUUUUGAAUCUACAUCCUGGUUCAGCUGGUAGCUGCGUCACUACUAAGCCUCUGUUCCAGCAUGGCAGGAAAAAGAAAUUACAUGGCUGUUAGCAUCUGGGAGACUUUCCUUCCAGGCAUCAAAUAUCACUGAGAAGGAUUUACAGCACCUCUUUACCACGUAAAGCAAGCCCAACAGCAGGAACAUGUGGAUAUGGUCCAGUUUGGCUGAAGAAUAAGGAACAGCACCUCAGCAAGUGUCUGCCACUGGGAACUGCAGCUCCUCUGAGGAUCCGUAAACUCCAAUGAUCUGGGACUUCACUUUGGUGACAGAUCAUGGCAGGGAGAACAUAAUGGAGAGGUGACCUGAAGCAGCUCUAGUGCGGGUUUGUGUCAGGUCCUGGUGCACAGCUCUAUCAGCUAAAAACUAGGAACUGUUACGCAAUACUUGGUAGCUGAAGAGCAUCUUCUGGGGAAGCUGAAGGCAUUACAGUUGCCACUCUGCCCAUCUGUGCUAGCACAUGCUCCAACUCACAUGACAGGGAAGAGUCUGGUCUUUGGCAAAGCAUUUCCACUUCUCUCAGUGUUGCAGAGGUAUCUGUCCCAUCUGUCUUCUGCUUCAGAUCACUGUAACUCGAGAAUAGCACCCUGGCACUGAGGACUGAUAGCUGUGAUUGGUUCCAGAAGCUGAAGUGAAACUUCAAAUUCAUGUCUUAGAUUCCUUUCUGCAAGAAUCACCUGAUGUUUUUCCUUUGUUUGUGGACGGAAGUCAAAAUCAGGAGAUGUGAAAGAGACGGGUGCCUUCAAAAGGGACUUCUGUAAUUAGCUACAGACUGCAGUGUAGUCACUAUAUUGACAUCAGAUCCUGUUUCAGGUACGUGACACUAUUUUACUAAGGACCAAGGAUGCAUAUUGCAAAGGUGGGAUAAGGAUGAACCAUCCACCAUAGACUAAGUUCCUGUGGGCCCUGAUGUACCUUUGCAGGCACCAGCUGUCACUUUGCAACCUUCCCUCCCAAAAUCCCCAAGAGAAAUGACGGCACUGAUUCUUCAGCCUGAAAUGGGGACAAAACCAAUGUAAAGACACUUUUCAGUUCAGAAAAUGAACAUCAGAAAUACAUCUAACUGCAAUGGCAGUUCCUCAUAGCAAGCAGGGCCAAAGACUACAAGAGCUGAAAUGUUGAAUAUCUUUUUAUAUUAAUCAUUUAACUCUGUUUUUUGGGAGAAUACAAUUUGGAAUCCUUGUAGCCACAGAGGAAAGUAGCAGAGAAUAUUUCCGUACUAAACUAGAAUGCUUUCCCUUCCAAUCACACAUUGUGGUUUUCCUAGGGUUUUGUCAGUGGUGGAUCAGUGAAAGAGCUACUGAAAUAUGUGCUCAUCAAAAUACCUCGUAACAUUUACAUUCCCUGGGAGAGAAGAGAGAAAGAGCAGGCUGAUUAGCAUCUGUACUUGAUGGUGAACUUCCAAGAAGAAAACAUUAAUUGGCUUCUGAGAUUGUAAUAUAGAUUUGUGCUCAUUUGCUUUUUAUGCUAAAAUAUUUGUCCAGCUAAAGAUUUAUGCCACAUCUGUAGUCGAUCGUGUUUUGGAACUAAAUGAAUGGUUACCUCCCUGAAUUUCUUGCUUUAGGAUUUAGGAGUGAUUAUUUGCAGUGUUCAUUUGAUGGUUUUGACUAAUCUGAGGAUUUACUGCUAGUGGUGCUGAUAAAUUGUUACAUUGUUUUAUUUUGACCAUAUUUUGAUAUUUGCACUGAUUAAGUCCUAACUGAUUGGGAAGUAUUUGUAGAAGGCUUAACUAUUUUGUCCUCUUUAAAUUGAUUCCUGCUUAUUUAUUACUUUUAAUAAAAUUCAUGAAAAGCACGUUCAGUCACUUUAUCUUCAAUACAUGGUUUUAGAUGAGGCACUGAGACUGAACCAAUUACUUUCAUAUACCUUUGGCUGACUCUGGGUGAUUUAAUAGACGAACAGGAGGGAAUUAUCCAGUAUCAAUGAGUGAAUGCAUGCUGGUUCUAAGUGCAUGGUAACUGCUGACAUGGCUUGGUAAAAGCAGAGAUAUCAUUAAUUUCAAUUGUACUCAGACUGCCCUUUCCCAGUAUGAUGUCCUGUCUCAGAAUGGCCAAUAAAACAGAAGUUUCAGUACACAAGGAAGUUUUUGACAUAUGAUCUUAAUUCAAAUCAGAUUAAAACCAACUUUUAUAAAAAUUUCCUAUGAAGCAAAAAUUCCCCAGAGCCAGCAACUGUUCUGUGAAAAUUACAUUCUUGUCAGUUUGACUAAAAAUAGCUGUAAUAUUGAUAUAUGAGAGCAGUUGCAGGGGUUUUCAGUAUUCUCGGGCACACAGCAGAUCUCUUGGUGGGAUGUCAAGACGUUAACCCUGAUGCUCUCAGGAUCUAUAGCUCUGGGAUAGGCACAAACCUGUUAUGGCUCCAGAGGAACUGCGCUGAGUCCCAGAUGCUUUGAAUGAAGUAUUUCAGGCUCACUGAGCUAGUGGUUCCAAGCAGAAUUUUUUCUCUUCACAAAAAGUCUGAAACUCCUGAAGAGAGUUAUGAGUUGGUAAAAUGUCCUGAUUUGUCUUGCAAUCAACUGAAACAGCACAGUUUGUAAUAACUCUCAGUUGCAUAUCUCACCCCUGGGCUGACCUGAUUACGUUGAAGCCUAGCCUUCAUUUUGAAAAUUAAGUUUCAAAAUGUGCCCCAAAUGCUUUCAAAGACCAUUUUUUUUCAGCUGAUCCUUCAAAUACACUGAAACGACCACUCCGAGAGUUGAAGUUACCCUUCUGGUCUCUUUUGAAGGAUUAACUGGAAGAGGUUGAAGUUCACCAAGCCACAUGGUCAAUGGACUACAUCCCCAUUACAGCAGAGAAUCUCCUGCAACAAUAGAAAAGAGCUGCAGAGCCAGCUGGUCCCUCUGCUCCCAGCUGUCCUGGUACCUCAACAGAGAGGAAAACCCAAGCUACCAACUACUGCCUCCCAAGUGAAGUGGCAGCACAUACUGCACUGUAACGUACAACCUAUCCAAGCUCUAAAGCAACAGAAACUACCACUUGCUUCUUACUGCAGCCUGCAGUUAACCUUCUGUAUCUGCAGAGCAUGCAGAACAGGGGAACAGAGAAAACAGCACUCUAGAUUUUUGAAAUGGAAAAAAUUGCCUUUCAGAGCAAUAACCUGCAUCAGGAGGAGCAGAGACAGCAGCCAAACAGAAGUGGUGGCGGAGCAGGAAAUUGCACCGUCCAUUCAGAAGAGAUCAGCACUGGUGCUCCUGUCAGCCAGCUUUUGUAGAAGAAAAAAUAAAAAGGUUGAAGGUGGGAUUCAGAUUCAAAUUCAGACCCC